GCGCUCGUAGCUCAGUUGGAUAGAGCGCAGGCUUGCGGAGCCUGAGGUCGUGGGUUCGAGUCCCGCCGAGCGCGCCA
rnacentral:tRNA from 1 species